AGAGUUUGAUCAUGGCUCAGGAUGAACGCUGGCGGCGUGCCUAACACAUGCAAGUCGAACGGAUUUUUCAUGAAGCCUAGCGAUUGAAAAGUUAGUGGCGGACGGGUGAGUAACGCGUGGGUAACCUGCCUUGUACUGGGGGACAACAGUUGGAAACGACUGCUAAUACCGCAUAAGCGCACAGCUUCGCAUGAAGCAGUGUGAAAAACUCCGGUGGUACAAGAUGGACCCGCGUCUGAUUAGCUGGUUGGUGAGGUAACGGCCACCAAGGCAACGAUCCGUAGCCGGCCUGAGAGGGUGAACGGCCACAUUGGGACUGAGACACGGCCCAAACGUCCUACGGGAGCGA
rnacentral:rRNA from 1 species